UACGUAGGUGGCAAGCGUUGUCCGGAAUUACUGGGCGUAAAGAGCGCGCAGGCGGUUGUUUAAGUCGAAUGUGAAAGCCCCCGGCUCAACUGGGGAGGGUCAUUCGAUACUGAUCGACUUGAAGGCAGGAGAGGGAAGUGGAAUUCCGGGUGUAGUGGUGAAAUGCGUAGAUAUCCGGAGGAACACCAGUGGCGAAGGCGACUUCCUGGCCUGUUCUUGACGCUGAGGCGCGGAAGCUGGGGGAGCAAACGGG
rnacentral:rRNA from 1 species